GCAGUCGAACGGCAGCACGGGAGCAAUCCUGGUGGCGAGUGGCGAACGGGUGUGUAAUAUAUCGGAACGUGCCCAGUCGUGGGGGAUAACGCAGCGAAAGCUGUGCUAAUACCGCAUACGAUCUACGGAUGAAAGCGGGGGAUCGCAAGACCUCGCGCGAUUGGAGCGGCCGAUAUCAGAUUAGCUAGUUGGUGGGGUAAAGGCCCACCAAGGCGACGAUCUGUAGCUGGUCUGAGAGGACGACCAGCCACACUGGAACUGAGACACGGUCCAGACUCCUACGGGAGGCAGCAGUGGGGAAUUUUGGACAAUGGGCGCAAGCCUGAUCCAGCAAUGCCGCGUGCAGGAUGAAGGCCUUCGGGUUGUAAACUGCUUUUGUACGGAGCGAAACGGUCUCUUCUAAUAAAGGAGGCUAAUGACGGUACCGUAAGAAUAAGCACCGGCUAACUACGUGCCAGCAGCCGCGGUAAUACGUAGGGUGCGAGCGUUAAUCGGAAUUACUGGGCGUAAAGCGUGCGCAGGCGGUUAUAUAAGACAGAUGUGAAAUCCCCGGGCUCAACCUGGGACCUGCAUUUGUGACUGUAUAGCUGGAGUACGGUAGAGG
rnacentral:rRNA from 1 species